rnacentral:rRNA from 1 species
CUUUUAUUUUGAAGAGCUACGGUUCCGAGUGACCUGCGAGGAUAUA